CCUACGGGAGGCAGCAGUGGGGAAUAUUGGACAAUGGGCGCGAGCCUGAACCAGCCAAGUAGCGUGAAGGAUGACUGCCCUACGGGUGGUAAACUUCUUUUAUAAAGGAAUAAAGUGAGGCACGUGUGCCUUUUUGUAUGUACUUUAUGAAUAAGGAUCGGCUAACUCGGUGCCAGCAGCCGCGGUAAUACGGAGGAUACGAGCGUUAUCCGGAUUGAUUGGGUUUAAAGGGAGCGUAGAUGGGUUGUUAAGUCAGUUGUGAAAGUUUGCGGCUCAACCGUAAAAUUGCAAUUGAUACUGGCAGCCUUGAGUACAGUUGAGGUAGGCAGAAUUCGUGGUGUAGCGGUGAAAUGCUUAGAUAUCACGAAGAACUCCGAUGGCGAAGGCAGCUUACUAAACUGCCACUGACAUUGAUGCUCGAAAGUGUGGGUAUCAAACAGGAUUAGAUACCCCUGUAGUC
rnacentral:rRNA from 1 species